CCGUUUGUAGUCCAACGGUUAGGAUAAUUGCCUUCCGAGCAAAUGAUCUAGGUUCAAAUUUCGACACAUGCA